rnacentral:rRNA from 1 species
CGUGAUCAUCGAAACUUUGAACGCACCUUGCGCUCCCGGGAUAUGCCUGGGAGCAUGCUUGUCGGGGAGGA